ACUACUCUAGGCGGUGGAUCACUCGGCUCGUGUGU
rnacentral:rRNA from 4 species